rnacentral:lncRNA from 1 species
UGGUUACCUGGUCAAGCAAAAGCUGAUUUCACCUCCUCAUACAAUGGAAGUAGCUCCAUGGGCCACUGAUCAUCACAGGAGCUGACUCAUUUUCAGCUUAUUCCCUUGAUACUCGUCGAGGCCCCCUUCUUCGCCACGCA